rnacentral:pre_miRNA from 1 species
CUGAUGUGUAGUGGUGUUGUACAGCUCCUGAUGUGGAGGAGCUGUACAAUACCACUACACAUCAG